rnacentral:rRNA from 1 species
UACGUAGGGUGCGAGCGUUGUCCGGAAUUAUUGGGCGUAAAGGGCUCGUAGGCGGUUUGUCGCGUCGGGAGUGAAAACCCAGGGCUUAACUCUGGGCUUGCUUUCGAUACGGGCAGACUAGAGGUAUGCAGGGGAGAACGGAAUUCCUGGUGUAGCGGUGAAAUGCGCAGAUAUCAGGAGGAACACCGGUGGCGAAGGCGGUUCUCUGGGCCUUACCUGACGCUAAGGAGCGAAAGCGUGGGGAGCGAACAGG